rnacentral:tRNA from 1 species
GCUAAUUUAGCUCAAUCGGCAGAGCGCCUGCCUUGUAAGCAGGAGGUUACAAGUUCGAUUCUUGUAAUUAGCA